UUUUCUGGAGCCAAGCGAAAUAUUGAAGAGAAUAACUGGAAAUGUUAGACAAGAGGUUGCUGACAGAAUCUGGUGACUUGAGGAUGGUUGAAUUCUUCCCAAGUCUUGUUUUAUGCGUGAUUAUAUUAUUUACAUUUUUCAGACUUCUACAUAAGCACUAGCCUGAGCCCUGCAGAUUUCAGAAAGCGUGAGAAGUGUACCAUGCAACAAACCUGUUUGCUUCUGUUUUUUGGAAAAGAACAUGACGACCGAGUUGGGGGUGGUUUUCCAUUUCGGAAAAAGAAAGGACGCGGUCCAUUCCGGGGUAAGAUGUACAGCGAGGGAAGUCACAAAUCUAGGAAUCGAGGCAGUGGAGGACCCAACCCACGGUCGCGGUUCGAGGAUGAUGAUGGCGAUGUGACUAUGAAUGAUCAUGAGUCGCCACGGUCACGAUUUACACCGUAUGGUGCAAGACCAUCUCGUCGCCUGGACAGUUGGCAUGAUCGUGAUGGAGGGCCCUCAAGCAUUCAAGUUACAGUGAAGCAAAAUUCAGAGAGAAAUGCAAGCGCCAAUGCACGCCGAUCCUGGUUUAAAAUCACUAUUCCUUUUGGAAAGAAAUAUGAUAAAUCCUGGCUUUUGUCAAACAUGCAUAAUAUGUGCAGUGUUCCCUUUACUCCUGUUCAGUUUCACUAUGAUGGCAACAAGGCAGUAUUCUAUGUUGAAGAUUCUACAGCUGCAAAUGCUUUAAAGCAGAUAUCGAGAAGAAUUGUUGAUAAGGAUUUGUACAGGGUGGCCAUCAUCAUUAGUUCUUCGGUGCCGCCAUCUUCCGUUUCAAAUGAGCUCAAAUCAGAGGAGAUUGAACACAUAAAGCAGUGUAUGAGUAAACGUUACGAUGGAUCACAGCAAGCCCUAGAUCUAAACAGCAUACGUAGUGACCCAGAUCUCGUCUCUCAGAAUAUUGAAGUGGUGUUAAACAGAAGGAGUUCCAUGAACGCAGUCAUCAAAAUCAUAGAGGAGAACAUUCCAGAGUUACUCUCGCUCAACCUGGGCAAUAACAGGCUCUACCGACUGGAUGACCUGGCAGACCUGAUCACCAAAGCGCCCAGUUUGAAAAUUUUAAACCUUUCCAGAAACGAGCUCAAAUCCGAAAGAGAUCUGGACAAAAUAAAAGGCUUCAAGCUGGAAGAGCUGUGGUUGGAUGGGAACCCUCUGUGUGACAGCUUCCGGGAUCAGGCUACAUAUGUCAGGUGAGUGAUAGCUUGGUAAGUAAACGGAAACUGAAUAUGCGGGAGAAUGAAGGCACUGUUGCUUUUAGUUGACCUUCUAAGGCUUUUUAAGAGUAAACACCCAUGCAUCCCAGAUUUAGCUUUGCUGUUAUUCACGUGAGCUGAUGACUCCCAAGAUAGUUUGUGUCCUCGUUUCGUAAAUGAAUGAAUUCCAGUCUCUCAGUAUUCAGUGUGGCUGCUGGAAUGUGGUGUGGACUAGCGCCAAGUUGCUGUAAAUUCCACAUUAUUAAAAUUGUUUGGGCAGUUUAGUUAUUCCAGGCACUUGCUUUAAAAAGAAAUGAGUCUGCUGCACCCAUAUCCAGAAGCAGAUGAAAAUGAAAUGAGAUUCUUUAGUAACAGACAAUGUGGUGCAGCGAUAUGAAAGCUAACUUCACUUUACACUGAAACUUUGUGUGAGUGCCUGUCUAGAGACCCUUUCUCGUCCUGCUUCCAGAAGUAAUUUACCUCAACAAUUGCUGUAAGUUUGGCCGCAUUUAGCUUUUGUAAGUGUUUUUAAUGUUGCUAAAUAGGACUAACAAAAAGCUUGCUGCUCCAGUAGACUUAAUUGUUGACCUAAAACCAAUUAAUGCUUGAUUUUUCCAGCAUUUCAAAACAUUCUGAUCUUUUAGAUGCAUUUAUGGCAAUUACUAGACAUAAUUAUGACCGAUGUCCAGACGCAAAGCAGCAGAAUCACUUCCAAUAACACAUCCUAGACCGUGCCAUCUCCUACAAAACAUGGAACCUGAAUCACCCCUACAUGCACUCUGCCACUGUGAAGGUGAAAGUGAGGACUGCCGAUGCUGGAGAUCAGAGCUGAAAAUGUGUUGCUGGAAAAGCGCAGCAGGUCAGGCAGCAUCCAAGGAGCAGGAGAAUCGACGUUUCGGGCAUGAGCCCUUCUUCAGGAAUGCUUUUCCAGCAACACAUUUUCAGCACUGUGAAGAUGAACCAAGUUUCUGUUAGGCUACAAAUGCAAGUAUGCAUUAUCCCACGCCAGCUUUAUAUUCUCAAGGGAAUUAUGCAGUUUCACAAACUGUUGUGGCAAACAGUGAUUCCAGAGCAGCACUUAAAAGGCCAUCACUGGUCUGUUGCUACUGAGUAGUGAGUGCAUUGCAGAUGUGAGAGAGUAAUCCUAUUGAGUUGUUUAUGGGGCCUGCUGCUGACUGACCGUGUUCCAUUCAAACAUUUGGCAGCUAUUGAUAAGAGUGUUCCACUUGUGCAAUGCCAGGCCAGGACAAAAGGUGUGGAAUGUGGGUUAAAGUUCUCAUCACAAACCAGCAUGACCUUUAUUUCAACUGAAACGCCAGCUUCCUGAAAAAUCGAUUCUAAAGGCAGCACUAUUCAAAAUGUUAAAUGUUAUCCUUUUGGUUCUAUUUCAUUUUACUUCCAAAAAUUUCGCACUCUCCCCCAUUUUUAUCAAAAUAGAUCCUACCUCUUUUUGAGGCUCCUUUCCUGGUGAGGGACUGUUUAGAAAAUGUCCUUGUGGCUGGGAAAGGAACUUCUCUGGACUUCAGCGUCCAGAUUUAACAUUGAUUAGAUUAGCGAAGAUUCGAGAAUCAGGUUGGUUUUGUUUUAGUCCGUCUCGUGGGGGUGGCGGGAAGGCAAAUGUGGGGCCACUUUCUUCAUCUGUGGAAGUUUUCUCAUGUUUUUCCCUUUUCAUUUGUUUCACCUCUCUCCCUCUUUGCAAUGUUUGACAGUGCUGUCAGGGAAAAAUUUCCAAAGUUACUCAGACUGGACGGUCAUGAACUCCCACCUCCCAUUUCCUUUGACGUUGAGACUCCAACUACGCUUCCUUC